AUCUAAAACUAAGCUCAGAAGAAAUAAUGAAACGUUAAAACCUUAAAAAUGCAAAAGAGACGCAGGACAAAGGGAAUCCCAGCCAAAAUGUUAAAGGACCCAGCUGUGAUUCUGCAUAAGAGGAGAAAAUGGCAGCUGGUUUAACAGCAGCUGUCUGUGUAGAACUGCAGUGGGAAGUAAAAGUAAGCUACAGCUCCCUGACCUACAGGCCACCUUGUUGGGAGAUCAGUUUUCACUUUACCAGAAGGAGGAAUGCUAUGAAAGACCAGAAGAUGCGCUGCAACAGGAGCUUCUAGCAGCAAAUGACCAAAUACAUAUCAUAUGAAGGAAC